AAUAUUGGACAAUGGGCGAAAGCCUGAUCUAGCCAUGCCGUUUGUGUGAAGAAGGUCUUCGGUUUGUAAACCACUUUAAGUUGGGAGGAAGGGGAGUAAGUUAAUCCCUGCAUGUUUUGACUAUACCGACAGAUUAGGCACAGGCUACCUUCUUGUCAGCAGCAGCGGUAAUACGAAUGUUGCAAGCGUUAAUCGGAAUUACUGGGCGUAAAGCGAGCGUAGGUGGUUCGUUAAGUUGGAAGUGAAAGCCCCGGGCUUAACCUGGGAAUUGCUUUCAAAACUGACGAGCUAGAGUACGGUAGAGGGUAGUGGAAUUUCCUGUGUAGCGGUGAAAUGCGUAGAUAUAGGAAGGAACAUCAGUGGCGAAGGCGACUACCUGGACUGAUACUGACACUGAGGUGCGAAAGCGUGGGGAGCAAACAGG
rnacentral:rRNA from 1 species